CAAUAAGCGGAGGAAAAGAAACCAACAGGGAUUGCCCUAGUAACGGCGAGUGAAGCGGCAACAGCUCAAAUUUGAAAUCUGGCCUCUUUGGGGGUCCGAGUUGUAAUUUGCAGAGGGUGCUUUGGCGUUGGCUGUGGUCUAAGUUCCUUGGAACAGGACGUCGCAGAGGGUGAGAAUCCCGUAUGUGGCCGCCAGUCUUCGCCGUGUAAAGCCCCUUCGACGAGUCGAGUUGUUUGGGAAUGCAGCUCUAAAUGGGAGGUAAAUUUCUUCUAAAGCUAAAUAUUGGCCAGAGACCGAUAGCGCACAAGUAGAGUGAUCGAAAGAUGAAAAGCACUUUGGAAAGAGAGUCAAAAAGCACGUGAAAUUGUUGAAAGGGAAGCGCUUGCAGCCAGACUUGCUUGCAGUUGUUCAGCCGGGCUCUUGCCCGGUCUACUCUUCUGCUCGCAGGCCAGCAUCAGUCCGGGCGGUUGGAUAAAGGCCUAUUAAACGUACCUCCCCUCGGGGAGGACUUAUAGGGUAGGCGACAUGCAACCAGCCCGGAUUGAGGUCCGCGCAUUUGCUAGGAUGCUGGCGUAAUGGCUGUAAGCGGCCCGUCUUGAAACACGGACCAAGGAGUCUAACAUCUAUGCGAGUGUUUGGGUGUCAAGCCCGAGCGCGUAAUGAAAGUGAACGGAGGUGGGAACCUUUCGGGGUGCACCAUCGACCGAUCCUGAUGUCUUCGGAUGGAUUUGAGUAAGAGCAUAGCUGUUGGGACCCGAAAGAUGGUGAACUAUGCCUGAAUAGGGUGAAGCCAGAGGAAACUCUGGUGGAGGCUCGCAGCGGUUCUGACGUGCAAAUCGAUCGUCAAAUUUGGGCAUAGGGGCGAAAGACUAAUCGAACUAUCUAGUAGCUGGUUCCUGCGAG
rnacentral:rRNA from 1 species